GCUUACGGCCACACCGGCCUGAGUACGCCUGAUCUCGUCCGAUCUCGGAAGCUAAGCAGGGUCGGGCCUGGUUAGUACUUGGAUGGAAGACCGCCUGGGAAUACCAGGUGCUGUAAGCC
rnacentral:rRNA from 1 species